GCUGCCUUUGAAAUGUGUCUUAGUCUGAUUUAAUCAUGAAGUAAGUUUGUUUUCUUUUCGUCUGGGUAAGGACACUCUGAGUCUUUAGGACCUUCACUUGUGGUUCGUGAUUCACUGUUGGCCCGAUCUGGCCGUUCAUGACUUUAAACUCACCAGAGUGCGACUCAGUCUCCAUGGUGACCCAAGACAAAAGCGGCAUGAGCAUGAGUACACUGACUACACAAGACGACUGUCAGAUCAACUCACUGCAAAUACGAUUUCUGCCCUCGAUGGCUGUUUGUUACUCUGUGGACAUGUCUUCAGUCUCCUGUCUCAUCCAGACAAAAAUAAACAUGGUAAACAAUCAACAUUUAUUACAGUGGUAAAUGGAUCUUGCAUGCAUUAAAUGUAAAGAUUUCUUCACAUUUAAGUAACAUAUUUAACUCCUGAUUUUGCACAUAAAGACGCCAUAGUGCCAACAUGCUCAUCCUCAGUUGGCUCAAAACAUCACUUAAUACAUCCUUCAAACUGGAGCUUCUUGUUGUGCAGAUCUUGUUUUUACUUCCCUUGCCUGCUCAAUACUUAAGAAUGUGAUAAAAGUUUUAACAUACUAAGCGGUUUUUGUUUUUCUAUUGUUUUUUUGUUUCUCAACAAUAGUUGACAAGAGCAGGGCGGCUGUGGCUCAAUUGGUAGAGUCGGUUCAAUCCCCAGCUGGCCAAAUGUCCGAUGUGUCCUUGGCCAAGAAACUUAACCGCAAAUCGCUCCCGCUACUUCAUGGUGGGAAUUAAAUAGGAUUAGUUACUUCUGAUGGAUGAUGCUACAUAGCGAUCAUCACUACCAUGUGUGGUCUAGGUGGGUGUGACAUGCGGUGUAAAAGCACUUUGAGUAGUUGGAAGACUAGAAAAGCACUAUAUAAGCUCAAGUCCAUUUACCAUUUAGCCUGUUUCUUCUGUCAUCGUCAGAUGCUUCACAGAGGGUUUGCCUGAGAACAGGUACUUUACUUUAUUUGGAUGCAUUUUGUUUCUUCCAUUUUUAAAUAUUUUUUAUUAACAUUU